rnacentral:rRNA from 1 species
UUCAAUAGCUUGCUAAUGAAAUUCUUAGUGGCGGACGGGUUAGUAACACGUGAGAAUCCUACCCUUGAGUGGGGAAUAGCCUUUCGAAAGGAAGAUUAAUGCCCCAUAGUCUCUACGGAGUAAAGAUGCCUUCGGGUGUCGCUUAAGGAUGGGCUCGCGGCCUAUCAGCUAGUUGGUGAGGUAAGAGCUCACCAAGGCAACGACGGGUAGCUGGUCUGAGAGGACGAUCAGCAACACUGGAACUGAGACACGGUCCAGACACCUACGGGUGGCAGCAGUCGAGAAUCAUUCACAAUGGACGAAAGUCUGAUGGUGCAACGCCGCGUGGAGGAUGACGGCCCUAGGGUUGUAAACUCCUGUCAUCAGGGAGUAAGACUUAUUCGUUAAUAGCGUGUAAGUUUGAUAGUACCUGAAGAGGAAGGGACGGCUAACUUCGUGCCAGCAGCCGCGGUAAUACGAAGGUCCCAAGCGUUGUUCGGAAUAACUGGGCGUAAAGCGUGUGUAGGCCGCGCGGAAAGUCGGAUGUGAAAGCCC